rnacentral:rRNA from 1 species
GAUGAACGCUGGCGGCGUGCCUAAUACAUGCAAGUCGAGCGAACAGAUGAGGAGCUUGCUCCUCUGACGUUAGCGGCGGACGGGUGAGUAACACGUGGAUAACCUACCUAUAAGACUGGGAUAACUUCGGGAAACCGAAGCUAAUACCGGAUAAUAUAUUGAACCGCAUGGUUCAAUAGUGAAAGACGGUUUUGCUGUCACUUAUAGAUGGAUCCGCGCCGCAUUAGCUAGUUGGUAAGGUAACGGCUUACCAAGGCAACGAUGCGUAGCCGACCUGAGAGGGUGAUCGGCCACACUGGAACUGAGACACGGUCCAGACUCCUACGGGAGGCAGCAGUAGGGAAUCUUCCGCAAUGGGCGAAAGCCUGACGGAGCAACGCCGCGUGAGUGAUGAAGGUCUUCGGAUCGUAAAACUCUGUUAUUAGGGAAGAACAAAUGCGUAAGUAACUAUGCACGUCUUGACGGUACCUAAUCAGAAAGCCACGGCUAACUACGUG